rnacentral:rRNA from 92 species
GACCUGCGGAAGGAUCAUUA